rnacentral:rRNA from 1 species
AUUGAACGCUGGCGGCAGGCCUAACACAUGCAAGUCGAACGGUAACAGGGAUCAGCUUGCUGAUUCGCUGACGAGUGGCGGACGGGUGAGUAAUGUCUGGGAAACUGCCUGAUGGAGGGGGAUAACUACUGGAAACGGUAGCUAAUACCGCAUAACGUCGCAAGACCAAAGAGGGGGACCUUCGGGCCUCUUGCCAUCGGAUGUGCCCAGAUGGGAUUAGCUAGUAGGUGGGGUAACGGCUCACCUAGGCGACGAUCCCUAGCUGGUCUGAGAGGAUGACCAGCCACACUGGAACUGAGACACGGUCCAGACUCCUACGGGAGGCAGCAGUGGGGAAUAUUGCACAAUGGGCGCAAGCCUGAUGCAGCCAUGCCGCGUGUAUGAAGAAGGCCUUCGGGUUGUAAAGUACUUUCAGCGGGGAGGAAGGGAGUAAAAUUAAUACCUUUGCUCAUUGACGUUACCCGCAGAAGAAGCACCGGCUAACUCCGUG